AACCGAGUCUUAAUUGGGCGUUAAGUUGCAGGGUAUAGACCCGAAACCCGGUGAUCUAGCCAUGGGCAGGUUGAAGGUUGGGUAACACUAACUGGAGGACCGAACCGACUAAUGUUGAAAAAUUAGCGGAUGACCUGUGGCUGGGGGUGAAAGGCCAAUCAAACCGGGAGAUAGCUGGUUCUCCCCGAAAGCUAUUUAGGUAGCGCCUCGUGAAUUCAUCUCCGGGGGUAGAGCACUGUUUCGGCUAGGGGGCCAUCCCGGCUUACCAACCCGAUGCAAACUGCGAAUACCGGAGAAUGUUAUCACGGGAGACACACGGCGGGUGCUAACGUCCGUCGUGAAGAGGGAAACAACCCAGACCGCCAGCUAAGGUCCCAAAGUCAUGGUUAAGUGGGAAACGAUGUGGGAAGGCCCAGACAGCCAGGAUGUUGGCUUAGAAGCAGCCAUCAUUUAAAGAAAGCGUAAUAGCUCACUGGUCGAGUCGGCCUGCGCGGAAGAUGUAACGGGGCUAAACCAUGCACCGAAGCUGCGGCAGCGACGCUUAUGCGUUGUUGGGUAGGGGAGCGUUCUGUAAGCCUGUGAAGGUGUGUCGUGAGGCAUGCUGGAGGUAUCAGAAGUGCGAAUGCUGACAUAAGUAACGAUAAAGCGGGUGAAAAGCCCGCUCGCCGGAAGACCAAGGGUUCCUGUCCAACGUUAAUCGGGGCAGGGUGAGUCGACCCCUAAGGCGAGGCCGAAAGGCGUAGUCGAUGGGAAACGGGUUAAUAUUCCCGUACUUGGUGUUACUGCGAAGGGGGGACGGAGAAGGCUAUGUUGGCCGGGCGACGGUUGUCCCGGUUUAAGCGUGUAGGUGUGUGUUCCAGGUAAAUCCGGUUCACUUUAACACUGAGGCGUGAUGACGAGGCACUACGGUGCUGAAGUAACAAAUGCCCUGCUUCCAGGAAAAGCCUCUAAGCAUCAGGUAACAUCAAAUCGUACCCCAAACCGACACAGGUGGUCAGGUAGAGAAUACCAAGGCGCUUGAGAGAACUCGGGUGAAGGAACUAGGCAAAAUGGUGCCGUAACUUCGGGAGAAGGCACGCUGACACGUAGGUGAAGUGAUUUACUCAUGGAGCUGAAGUCAGUCGAAGAUACCAGCUGGCUGCAACUGUUUAUUAAAAACACAGCACUGUGCAAACACGAAAGUGGACGUAUACGGUGUGACGCCUGCCCGGUGCCGGAAGGUUAAUUGAUGGGGUCAGCGCAAGCGAAGCUCCUGAUCGAAGCCCCGGUAAACGGCGGCCGUAACUAUAACGGUCCUAAGGUAGCGAAAUUCCUUGUCGGGUAAGUUCCGACCUGCACGAAUGGCGUAAUGAUGGCCAGGCUGUCUCCACCCGAGACUCAGUGAAAUUGAACUCGCUGUGAAGAUGCAGUGUACCCGCGGCAAGACGGAAAGACCCCGUGAACCUUUACUAUAGCUUGACACUGAACAUUGAGCCUUGAUGUGUAGGAUAGGUGGGAGGCUUUGAAGUGUGGACGCCAGUCUGCGUGGAGCCGACCUUGAAAUACCACCCUUUAAUGUUUGAUGUUCUAACGUGGACCCGUGA
rnacentral:rRNA from 1 species